AUGGGUUUCUACACGCGUUCUUCCUCGCAAGCACGGGUAGCUUGGGUGCUCCUGCUGCUUUGCUCGUGCACGCUGUUAAUCAGGGCACACGGAGGAGGAUCUCGCAAGCUUUACAUAACCUACCUAGGCGAUGUGAGGCAUGGGCACCCAGAUGAUGUCGUCGCCUCGCACCAUGACAUGCUCGGCACUCUUCUCCAAAGCAAGGAGGAAUCUGUGGCCUCCAUGGUCUACCACUACAAGCAUGGUUUCUCGGGCUUCGCCGCCAUGCUCACCCAAGACCAAGCAACAAGACUUGCAGAGUUUCCGGAAGUCAUCAGCGUGAAGCCGAGCAGGAGGGUCAGGACGACCACCACGCGGAGCUGGGACUUCCUUGGGCUCAACUACCAGUCCUCCCACACGCCGGCCAGUGAGCUGCUCCAAAUGAGCAACUUCGGAGAGGACGUAAUUAUCGGAGUUGUUGACACCGGGAUCUGGCCGGAGUCAAGAAGCUUCAGCGAUGUAGGGUACGGGCCGGUGCCAUCGAGGUGGAAAGGGGAGUGCCAGACCGGGCCGGACUGGGGCAUCAACAACUGCAGCCGGAAAAUCAUCGGCGCGCGGUUCUACACCGCUGGGGUCCCCGACGAGUACCUUAAAAGGGACUCGCUGUCGCCGCGGGACCACAACGGCCACGGCACUCAUUGUGCUUCCACUGCAGCGGGCUCGGCUGUAGGCGUGGACGGCGAGGCGGCUAGCUUCCACGGCCUUGCCGCGGGGGUGGCGCGGGGAGGCGCACCGCGGGCUCGCAUCGCGGUGUACAAGUCCAUCUUUGCUGGCUAUGGCGAUUCGGCCACUGUGCUGGCCGCCAUUGACGACGCGAUCCACGACGGGGUGGAUGUAUUGUCGCUGUCCCUCACUGUGCCGUACGAGAACUCGUACGGUGCCCUGCACGCGGUCCAGAAGGGGAUCACUGUGGUGUACUCCGCCGGAAACGACGGGCCCAGGCCGCAGACCGUCGAGGACACCUCGCCGUGGGUCCUCACCGUCGCGGCGAGCAAGAUCGACCGCUCGUUCCCGACGGUGAUCGAGUUGGGAAACAAGCAGCAGAUGGUGGGGCAGUCUCUCUAUUACCAAGUGAAGAACAUCAACUCAUCAUCACACACGACUAGCAGUUUCACAAAGCUUAUAUGUGCACGCUCUUGUGUGCCGAGACAUGAGGUUCUUCAUGAGAUUGACGUGAAAGGGGCUAUCCUGGUGUGCUUAAAUGAUAAUGACGCGAUCAAUCCAUCAGAUGAUUUCGCCCAUGCGGCCAAGUACGUGGUGGAAGGCGGGGGAUCCGGGCUCAUCUUCGCGCAAUACACAACGGACGCCCUGAGUUCCACAGUGGCUUACUGCCCGGGCAUCGCUUGCGUUAUCGUCGACAUCUACAUCUCCAGGAGGAUAUGCGAGUACGCCAUGGACACAAGCUCCCCCACAGCAAAAAUCGAACCCACGCGCACCGUCAUGAGCAAAGAUGUGCUGGCUUCGAAAGUGGCGUCCUUCUCUUCGAGAGGCCCAUCGGCUGAUUACCCGGCCUUCAUCAAGCCUGAUGUAGCUGCGCCCGGAGCCAACAUCUUAGCAGCAGUGGGAGACUCCUACGUAACAAAGUCAGGGACGUCCAUGGCAGCCCCGCAUGCAGCGGGUGUCGCCGCGCUGCUCAAAGCUCUGCACCCGGAUUGGUCUCCUGCUGCAAUAAAGUCAGCCAUCAUCACCACUGCGCAUGUAACUGAUGGACACGGCAUGCCGAUCCUGGCGGAAGGACUACCGCGGAAGGUCGCCGACCCGUUCGACUAUGGAGGCGGGAACAUCAACCCAUGCGGGGCAGCUCAUCCCGGCCUAAUUUAUGACAUUGAUCCACACGAUUACAACAAAUUCUUUCGAUGUGCCAACGUCAAGGAGGGGAUAUCUGCGUUCGCAAGCUGCGACACCACCUCUAUGCCAGAGUAUAACCUCAAUCUGCCGUCCAUCUCGGUUCCUGAUUUGAGGAGUGCGAUCACCGUCUCGAGGACGGUAACCAACGUUGGCGAGCUCCAUUCUGUGUACCACGUCGCAGUCCAGAGCCCGACUGGAGUCAAGAUGGAGGUUUUCCCAGAUGUUCUUGUUUUCGAUGCUGCGAACAAAGUCCGGAAAUUCGAGGUGAAGCUGUCACCUAUCUGGAACUUGCAAGGGGGCUACACGUUUGGCAGCAUCACUUGGCAGAAUGACCGACAAGUGGUGAGGAUUCCAGUUGCGACCCGAAUUACAAUUCAGGAUUUCUAUGCGGAUGUUGCAUAA
rnacentral:rRNA from 1 species